CAGUAGCCGCGGUAACACAGAGGGUGCGAGCGUUAAUCGGAUUUACUGGGCGUAAAGCGUGCGUAGGCGGCUAAUUGAGUCGGAUGUGAAAUCCCCGAGCUUAACUUGGGAAUUGCAUUCGAUACUGGUUAGCUAGAGUGUGGGAGAGGAUGGUAGAAUUCCAGGUGUAGCGGUGAAAUGCGUAGAGAUCUGGAGGAAUACCGAUGGCGAAGGCAGCCAUCUGGCCUAACACUGACGCUGAGGUACGAAAGCAUGGGGAGCAAACAGGAUUAGAUACCCCGGUAGUCCCUGUCUCUUAUAC
rnacentral:rRNA from 1 species